rnacentral:rRNA from 1 species
GACGAACGCUGGCGGCGUGCUUAACACAUGCAAGUCGAACGGAAAGGCCCUGCUUUUGUGGGGUGCUCGAGUGGCGAACGGGUGAGUAACACGUGAGUAACCUGCCCUUGACUUUGGGAUAACUUCAGGAAACUGGGGCUAAUACCGGAUAGGAGCUCCUGCUGCAUGGUGGGGGUUGGAAAGUUUCGGCGGUUGGGGAUGGACUCGCGGCUUAUCAGCUUGUUGGUGGGGUAGUGGCUUACCAAGGCUUUGACGGGUAGCCGGCCUGAGAGGGUGACCGGCCACAUUGGGACUGAGAUACGGCCCAGACUCCUACGGGAGGCAGCAGUGGGGAAUAUUGCACAAUGGGCGGAAGCCUGAGGCAGCAACGCCGCGUGCGGGAUGACGGCCUUCGGGUUGUAAACCGCUUUCGCCUGUGACGAAGCGUGAGGGACGGGAAUGGGUAAAGAAGCACCGGCUAACUACGU